rnacentral:lncRNA from 10 species
CUACCUACCCUCUAAAAGAUGAACCUACUUGAGAGAGGAGAGAACAUCAAAGGCUGUAAUAUGCUGAGCUUUCUAAGAAAACUGCUUUGAAGGGAACAGGUUUUGCUUGGAUGGAAGAAAGAGACAUUAUACAAAUGCAAGCUGUUGUCACAACAAUGAUAAGAAAUCAGGAGUCGAAAGAUGUGGAGUAAGGGGGAAUUUCAGAGAAACCACAAAACACAAAAUAGGAAACAGAGACAGGAGAAGAUUGCUAUGACAAAAUUGCAGAAGGUGAAAUCUUUGGCAGCCUCUUAUUUCUCUGGAGAAUAUGAUAUUGUCAGGCUGAGGUGGAAGAAUCACAUGGUCAUACUGUUGAAGAGGUCUUGAAACAUUGGGCUUUCCUCUACAAGCGGAAGGAUAGCACUGGCAGCCAUCCACUGGCCCAGCAAUAUCCUGGAUUGAGACGAUAUCAUUUGCAUUACUUGCUGAAUGAAACAUAGUGAAAAUGACUGCAGAUAACCUCAACUAAGUCCAAGAUAUCAUUUUCAAAUCUGGACCAGCCCUUGCCAUCUAGACUGAACAGAGAUUCCAGUUUCCAGGAGAGUAGAUGGAGUAAUGAUAAAAGCACCUCCCAAAACUUUUGCCUUGCUCCAUCAAAACUUAUAAAAUCUUGGGAAGAGGAACUGUGGCCCAUCACUGAUCAUUUCAUCUAUUAAGUGACCACUUAUUGUCUUAUAAUAGGAGAUGUUCUGGAAACAUGCAUUGAAUCGAAGUGGCUUUGAGGAAGCAUGAAGAGAAAACAGGAUGGCAUCCUUUUGGCACCAUUUCUUAUGCUAUAAUAAGGAUUCCUUCUGUUUACACAUAAAACAGAAGAGUUUAAUCACCCCAGCAAUCUUUAACUUGGUAAUGAAGGCCAUAAAUUAAAUUUUAAGCAAAGUUAAAGAAGAUGAGAUGAAAUAUAAAACAAAAACAUCAUCAGAAUCUGCCCAGGAACAAUAUUCUUGACACCAAACCAUGACAUUAUGGGGCUCAGUUGUUUGUUUCUAGGGCAGCCCCUUGUUUUAUGUGCCAAAUAGCAUUUCCCUAAAUAAAACUGCAUGGAAC